ensembl:scaRNA LOC120098009 small Cajal body-specific RNA 20
GGCUUCUUGUCCUUUGAGCUACGGGGAUCACAUUGCUCCUCGGCCAGGGUGGGAGGCCAAGAUCAGCCUGUGAGGAAGAUUUUCGUCAGGACUGCUGUGAGCCGGCAGCCUUGUUUUCCAGCCUCAGACAUUG